CAGAGAAUAGUUUAAUUAAAAUAUUAAUUUUGGAGAUUAAUGAUAAAAGGAUUUUUUUUUCUCUGA
rnacentral:tRNA from 1 species